rnacentral:rRNA from 1 species
AACCUGUCUCCUUUGACCAAUCAGUGAAACUGAUCUUUCGGUACAAAAGCCGAAAUAAAUACAUAAGACGAGAAGACCCUGUGGAGCUUCAAAUUAUAACCAAAACAUGCUAACACAGCAUACUGAGCCAUGGCUAAAAAUUUUAAGUUGGGGCGACUUCGGAAUUAAACAAAACUUCCGAGAAUAAAGAGCAUUCCUCUUACCAAGACCAACAAGUCAAAGCAAAUAUUGACCCAGUACCACUGACCAACGAACCAAGUUACCCCAGGGAUAACAGCGCCAUCUUCUUCAAGAGUCCAUAUCGACAAGAAGGUUUACGACCUCGAUGUUGGAUCAGGACACCCAAAUGGUGUAGCAGCUAUUAAAGGUUCGUUUGUUCAACGAUUAACAGUCCUACGUGAUCU